rnacentral:rRNA from 1 species
UGGGGGAUAUUGCACAAUGGGCGAAAGCCUGAUGCAGCGACGCCGCGUGGGGGAUGAAGGCUUUCGGGUUGUAAACCUCUUUCGCUAUCGAACAAGGCCCGCUUAGGGUGGGUCGAGGGCAGGUGGAGAAGAAGCGCCGGCUAACUACGUGCCAGCAGCCGCGGUAAUACGUAGGGCGCGAGCGUUGUCCGGAAUUAUUGGGCGUAAAGGGCUUGUAGGCGGCUUGUUGCGCCUGCUGUGAAAACGCGGGGCUUAACUUCGCGCGUGCAGUGGGUACGGGCGGGCUUGAGUGUGGGAGGGGUGACUGGAAUUCCAGGUGUAGCGGUGGAAUGCGCAGAUAUCUGGAGGAACACCGAUGGCGAAGGCAGGUCACUGGGCCAUUACUGACGCUGAGGAGCGAAAGCAUGGGUAGCGAACAGG